AUGGAUGAAAACUAAUCAAGGAGAGAAGGAACCUAGAACUAAAAAAAAACCCCUUUCCUGACAGUUAGAACAGGGGUUGGACUAGAAGACCUUUAAGGUCCCUUCCAACUCUGUCAUCCAGCUGUCUUCUAUCCAUAUAGGAUGAUUAGAAUCUGCCUGUACCACACAGAUUCUCAUGUAUGUAUGUAUAUAAAUGGAUACAAAGCUUCCUAGGAGUGAGAACCAAAUAUAUAUCCAGGCUCAUCUGAUGGGAUAUUGCCUGUUGAGUCUUUUGUGAGUUUUGCUCACAAAAUUCCUGCCUACUUUGGUGGAAUUAUCUUCCAGUGAGUUAAGUUUUGGAUUCUUGGACCAAGAGUUCAAUUAGUCAAGCUUUCUUUAUUCAACUAGGACUUUGCUUUCUAAUAGUAUGACUUUGCGCACAGGUUUACCCAGAAAAUUGUAUUGCCCCCAAUUGGCUGGCUGCCCAGUGUAUAAUAUGGCAGCUGUCUUUGUCAGCCAUUCAUGUUCUGCUUGUGUGAAUCUUCUGUGAUGAUUGUGAAGGAGAAGAGAAUGAGUCCUGGAACCCAGCUGGUGAUGGUUUAUUCAAUAAACCAUGGUUGAGGGAACAAUGCCUUAGCAGCAUACGUGACCCCAGUCAUUUGUCACUCAAAUGGCAAGCCACAGCAUGGACCUCCUAGGUCUUCUUCAACCCCUUUAGAGCCCAGUGGAGGCUAUUGCACUAAUGGUAAAUCAGCUGUUACAAAUAUCAGGAUUUCAAUAUUACUUUGGGUACCUUUAGUGUGUGCGUUGAACGUUUAAAGCAAAAAUGUCCAACCUUGGCAACUUUAAGACUUGUAGACUUCAAUUCCCAGAAUGGCUGGCUCAGGAAUUCCGGGAGUUGAAGUUCACAAGUCAAGGGGCCAUAGCUAUCCAUCCCUGUUGUAAUUAUUUGAUCACCAAUCCUUUACAUUUCUGAUUUGGGAGUUAAGUGGUCAGUUUAGAUGAAAGGGAAUUUAGAACUGGUGGCCUCUGCAUCCAUUCUGCUGAACUUUCUGAACUAAAUGGAUUCAAAAAUCCCGAUCAUCAGUAAUAAUUCAGCUUGGAUUUGCCCCAAAUCUUUUUUCCCCACAAUCCUUCUGUGGAAUCUCGGGGACUCAUUAUUUUUUUUUAGCUUUCCAAGCUAUGUUGAAUAUGUCUUUAUUUUCCACUUUUGUUUUCGGUGUAGUGAGGCUAGAGAUAUUUUUUACUGCUGUUUUUUAUUUAUUUAUUUUGGGGAGGGGGGGUUGGAUGGGCCCAUUUUGUUUAGUCCAAAGGACGAUUGGGAGUAGUAUACCUUAAGGUAGUUUUACUUUUUUUUUUUUAAAAAAAAAAAGUUUUAAAGGCUAAAUUAAAAAUGCCAGUACAGUGCAUUGAUAAUGAGGUUGGACCUAAAAAUGAGAAGACAUGAGUUCAGGUCCAGCUUUGGUCAUGGAAGCUCACUGAGUGACAUUUUAGCCCAUCCUACCUCACAAGGUUAUAGUAGUGGUGAAACAUGGGCACUGGGGAUGCUGUUUAAACUCCUGGGGUAGAAAUCUAUUAAGGAAAAUAAAGUGAAAAAAUUCAAAACACCGGCAGCAAGAAUGUGUUUAACUCCAGUUUCUAAAAUGAGACUUCUCCUCUCGUUGGUUAAGAAUGGAAAGGGAUAUGUAAUUAUAUUAUUAUUCUAUGCCCCAAGUUUAAAUGGCUUAUCAAUAUUUGUCAAGUCAAGUAUAAUCCACUGACUAUGUACCAAGCCACCCCCCCCCCAAUCCUCAUGUUUUUCGUUUUCCCUUGUCGACUUGGAGUGCAAAAUGCAAUUAAAGUGUGCUGGGCAUCUUUCAAAUUUCCAAUUGAAGAGAAUAUUUGUAGCUCAGGUUGAACUGUGGUGUUUUGGUGCUCUCUGAACUUGGUAAUUUGUUUGCAGAUAUUUAAUUACCCAACUAGGUAAUGUCAUCCGUGCUAGGGGUGUGUGGGAUUUGUUCCCUGUUCAUAAGCAGUAGCUUUCCCUGCCUGUUUUGGUGGGGGUGUGCUAACAAACCGUCAAACUCAGAGAGCACCAAGGAUUCCAUCUUUCAAUCUCUAUGAUGCAUUGAAGAAGUUGAGUUAGUUAAGUCACAAACUGUGUAGGCUUAAAAAAAGGCACUCCAUCCACUCCAGAUAUCUUGAAAUGAUGGUAAUAAGUCUUUCCACUGUGGAAAGCCAUCAUCUGAUUUAUUGGUUUAGGAAUAGAAUGUUGUGUAAUGCUGGCCAAUAUGGUUUGUAAACCAUGGUUUGUUCCUUAGUGUCAUGUAUUAACUAGGUCUUUAUGGCAUACUGUAGUCAGCUGAAUGUGGUUAAAAUGAAUCCUAUCUUAGCAUAGUAUGUUUAGAGCACUGCUAGACAUUGAUAAUUAUUGUUUUCUAAUACAGGUAUAGUAAUAUGAUCAAAGUGGAGCUGAUGUUCUGAGGCAAAUAACUAUAAUGACGUUUUUUUCCAUAUUUUACUGCAGACAUACAUACAGAGUGUAUUUCUACAGAGUUAAAACUAGUAAGGUUUAUUUUUGAAAAAAAAAACAAAUUUCUCAUUUAAAAUUCAAAAGCAAUCUGUAAAUGGGAAAAAAAAAGAUAGGUCAAAGAAAGGAGCUUUCAAACAUUUUGAACUUUGGUGUGUUUACAUGGAGCUUUGCACAUUUGAGGUCUAGUCAGAGUAACUUUGGCCAUGCUGAGAGAGGGAUUAUAGAGGUGAACUCCAUCACAUCUGAAGGGCACCGAGAUGGAGAAGAAAAACUGUUCCAAGGGAUGAUGCACGUGGACUCUGUGAGACCAUGCCACGAGCACAUCUCAGGAAAAGUUGUGUAAAAUCAAGUCAGUUAUGCUCCUCUCCUCUAUUCUCUCUGUUAUCAGCUCUUGCUUCUCGUCACUGGCUGAAAAAUCCUGGAAUCUUUGAGAAUAUUUGCAGUCGGGGUGAAGAGCAGAGAGCAGUUGAGUCAAAUCUGUUGAGGAUCCUCAUCAUCCUGUCCCUCAAGAACAAGUUGGUUCUUGAAAGGGUGUAGAAGGCAACUUUCAGAGGAUCUUACCUAAGGUUAUUGAGGAGCCUCCGGACUUCCACCCGGAUCUCAGAAUCACUAAGUUAGGAUUGUGAGGCUGAAUGUUGCAUGUGCGAUCACGAUAGGCUUUCUUGGAUGUGUGAUGCUUUUGCUCGGAUGUGCAUGUGCUCACAGUAUAAUGGAAAGCUCUGCGCUUGUGAUCGAUGAAAUAGCUUUGCAGAACGCUAAAUCCCAAAGUGAAGAUUUUUGCCUAGCUGUAAGUAGCCUCGCUGUUUUAAUGAUUUGGCCAGCCUUUGCUAUGGUCUCUUUUAUCCCUGUUUUAACGUUUUUUUCACUGCCAUUUCCAAAACUGCGAAGGCCAUCAUCCUUGGACACAUUUGCGUUCAUUUCAGAUUCGCAUUAAACGGCGACAGCUUCCCUUAAAGCACAGGACGAUUUUUAGUCUUUAAGGUGCUAAAUGUUUUAUCUUCAUAGAUUUCCAAGAUUUUGGAAUUCAGCUGCGCAUUAACGAAUGUCACAGAAAGUUGACAGCUGUUCUUGUUCCUUUGAAGUGCACCGGACACAUUGAAUUGCACUGAAAUGAAUGGGAACUUUGCUCUUGGGCUAAUUUUGCUGUUGGAAGAGAAUUGCAUUUGGCUUCAGCAUCCCUUGAAUUAAAUGAAGAAAUGCAAGGAAAGACAGUGGAAUAUAUCAGGGUUUCAGGUUUUUUGUUUUGCUUUGGUGCCAUUUCAGUGCUGUGUUAAUACAAAUUUUAUGUAGACCAGCAAAAACAGUGCAGAUUUUUUUUGAAAUAAAUAACACCCACCCUCAAGGGAAAUACUUUUAUUCACUAGUCAGCCAAAUGUUUCCGUUUUCAGAAGUGCUGAACAGCUAAACCGUGGCAUCUUUUUGCCCAUUAUGCUAAAGGUCUUGAGGUUUGCAUCCUCUUGGAUCAAAGCUUGCAGUUCCAAAUCAGGCUAGUGUAAAUGCUUUUAUUUGCUAGUUGGUAGUUUUGUUUUGCUUUUUUUUAAAAAAAUAUGUAAGUCUGUAUGGAUGUACGUGCGGAUGAGUGAGUGAUAUUUUGAAAAGUUUUUCUUUUUUAAUUUAAGAAAAAAAUGCAUAUAAGAACUAUAUAGCUAUAUACAAAGAAAAAGAUCAGAGAAGAAGUUAGAUGUAUUUGCAGAAAACAUUUAUGUGCAAGGGAUCAGGAGAAUGGAAUUCACCUUUUUUGAAAAAUGCACACAGUCCCCUCAGAGGUGAGGAAUGGGACCUUCUGUGUUAGUCUGUCCUUGUGGUUCUUUGUGAUCUACUGCUAUGAUCUGCAGAGGAUUAUUUAGACCAAUGGGCUGGUUCAGAGAAGUUUGAAACCCAUUGAGCUGUGAACAUCAGACAGGCAAAAUGGAGUUGUCAGCCAGCUAAAAGAGAUAAGAAAAAUAACUGCAGUGUCUGCCCUGAUCCAGUUUUCUUAUUUCCAAAUUUCUGGAAGACUUCAAGUAGAUUCCAGAUCUGAGUGCAUGGAGAUAACCCAUGGGUCUUCAAAUUUGGCAACUUUAAGACUUAUGGACUUCAAUUCCCAGAAUUCUGGGAGUUAAAGUCCACAAGUCUUAAAGUUGCCAAGUUUAAAGACCCCUGAGAUAACUCAAAGUAAGGAAAUGACUCUGUUCAUCUUUAUGGAAUACAUAGCUUUAUUAUGCCACAGAUUGUGACAAUUUCCUGGUUCUUUUGAGACUAUUUUGGGGAAGGGGAUUCUCCUUGAUAAUGUAUUUCUCAUUUUACUUAAGGGCAGCUCUGCUUCAAAUGUUAAAUACAACUAAAGUUGUCUCCAGGACAGCCUUUUCCAGGUGGUUAUUAAGCAUGUUCACUAUACUUGGGAUUCCUAAUCUUCUGGAAGGAAUUUAUUGACCCAAACUGUAUCCACUCACAUGGUGCCUUUGACAUUUCACAGAUGGUUAGGCCAAGGAAAGGAAUUCUGAAAGGAAGAGGACUUUUACUAGAACUACAGUUCCCAGGAUUCUUUGAGGCAAGUCCUGAUUGUUUGAGAGACAUAAAGUUGAGGUAGAAUUUCAGCAAUGACUGUAGACUUUCAGUAGGUCAAAGGAAAUCCUUUGUUAGUCCUUUGACCCUUAUAAAUAUAGAUAUCCUUGAAUGACAGAAAUAACCCCUCAGAGCAGAGAUGUCCAACCUUAGCUUGAAGUUCACAAAUCUUAAACUGGCCAAGGUUGGACACCCCUGCCUUAGAUGAACUGUUAGAGGAGUCCUAUUUUCUGUUUAGACUUUGGAAUAUGUGCUCUUCAGGUAUUCCAGAACUGUGUUGUAUAUAAAAGUAUAUAAAGAUAAAUUUAAUUUCUAUUUUAAAUGUGGGGUGGGGGGAUGGGAAUAGAGGAUGAAAAAGACUAUUUAAAGAGAUAACAAGUAAAUAGAUGUUUAAAAGUUCAGCAAAGUUGUUAACGAUGAAAAAAAAAUAAAGAACAAGAGCAAGCUAGGCAUUUUUUUUUAAUUUAAAAAAAAUGUGUUGGCACCUAACACUUCCUCUUCCCAGCUAAUUUUACUAUUUUGUUUUAUUUUAGUAUCUGGGUUGGACUAAUUCCGAAAGUCAUUACAACAUUUUACAUUUCAGGAUGAGGUUUGAAUAUGGAGAAAGGGGUGUCUUCAAUAGACAUUGGAGCAAAUCGGGGCUGUGAAGUAUAUCACGAAGAGUUCUUUGUAAAGGACACACAGAAUGUACUGUGUGAACUUUUUGAAGGGUGUUUAAAAUAGUUGCACUCAUUUCUUUCAUUAGAGUUCAAAGGUCAACUAGGAAGUGUGUAAGGAAUGCCUGGUAAAAUCCUGGCCUUCAAAGUUUCCCAUGAUUAGAAGGCAGGGCACUCUUACAAGUGUGUGCCUCUCCCAAGAAAGGCAUCAUACAAAACCAUGCAGGUUGGAUUGUCACAGCUAAGAUGGAUUGUGCAAUUCCUCUGAAAUGCUGAAUGCAGCUCGCAGACCAGGAAAAUUGCCAUAACAGUUGGCACCUGCCUUUUCUCAACACAAAAAACUGCUUGGUGUUGCACUCCGGUGUCCACACUCCGGGUCCAUUGGCUUAUUUUUUUUCUUUAAAUCUGAGCCAUCUAUAAGGUCCAUCAACUGAAUGGCUGCUCCAGAGGAAAUGCUGCAAAAAUAGUUUGGGGGCAUUUUCUGGUAGAAUCGCAAGGCUGAUGGUUGUGUGUUGAUGAAGGCAUCUCACUUGCCUUCCCAGCAACUUCCCCCUUGGUCUUCUAGAAGUUCUGGUGUUCUCCUUUGCUCUGUCAGCACUGGCACUUAUCUGUGCAGCAAACAGUUGUUUGCUGCAUCAGGAGGGAGAGGGGACGAUGAGUCAAGGUAGUAAAGAGGAGGCCUGAUGUGGAGAACCAAGCUUUUACUUUCUACUCUUGGGAUCAACUGUUUUGAAAGAAUUUUUGAGUUUGCUGGAUAAAAGGGUUCCAUUUGGCAGGCACAGCACCACACAGUCCUGUCAAGGGUGCAAGUUAGGAAAAGCAUUUUAUAUUAUUAUUAUUAUUGUCGUGGGUAGUUUAGAGUAAUGUUAAUGGGGAGGGGAGGGAAUUGGGAAAGUUGUUGCUAAGGGAUGAUAGGAAUAACAACGUAGAUGAUUCCACACAUCAUCCCCUGUCUUCUGUGACUUGGAUGGGCGUGGGCAGUUUUCUUUCAGUAUUGUAAUCCAGGGCUACGUUGUGCUCCUAAUUGCGUGAGGUGCUGCAAUGAAGCUUCCACUGUAUAGAGGGAAGGGAUCUUCGCUUCUUACUCAGUAGCCCUAGGACGCUUUUCCCAGCUCAGAGAAAGAUAAUGUUCAGCUGAAUUCUCUUCCAAACUUCCCCAAAGGCGCAUUGACAUAGAAAAUGAAAGUGAUAGUCCUCCUGGCUGAGAGUGAAGUUCUCAUGUUCAACUGAAGUAGGAAUGGGAAUGAAAUAAGCAAAGUGGGUUAGAAUAGAGCUGAUCUCCAUCCUAACAGGGUCAGGAAACUUUGAUGCCCCUUUGCAAUCGCAUCGCUUUUCAUUCUUGAAGGAGGCUUCCAAGUGAGAAUUCAACCCUCCAAAAAUAUUGUGGGACUUCUAGAUAUUGUAAGACUUCCUUCUUCUUCCAUCUUGUUGUCAUGUUUCAGGGGAAAUGGGGAGAGCCCACAACCUGUUUCAAUUGGUACCCUUUGGAAAUAACCAUCCAGAAGAAGCUUACUGGACUGGGAAGAACUUGUUAUUCGUGGCAAUAUCUUGAAUUCUAUGAAUCCCCAUGUAGUUAGCAGCGUACACUUAAUAAAUACAUUCUUCCUAACCUUGUCAAUGCAGUUAAGUAGUUUAAGAUUAGGCGGUGCACUCAGAAUAGUAUUAGAGAGCUCAACAUGGGUUACCCCAGAGUACCCACCACUUUAAGGAUAAAGGUGUAAUUAUGGGACUGAAUGCAAGAUUAAUAAAAAAAAACUUUCUAGAAUUUGCGGCUUCCUACCUUUGGGUGGAAGAUUAUAAGUUUCCAUUCUGGAUUUGCUCUUUGCGUUUAUGGGGGAGGGACUGUUGGGGCUUUCACCCAUUCAGUAAGCAGUUUGUCUAGAAUGUUAGAUAAGUGAAGGUAGCAUAGUUUUCUACACUGCUCAAUGGCUAGCCUUAGGAUAUUGUCUCUGUAUACUUGAAGACAUCAUUUGGAGUGCGUAUAGAGGGGGGCCUUGGGAGACAGAACAAAGAGCCGUGCAGUGGUUCUUCCCUCUGUUCUACAAGGCUCUGCUCUACAAUCAUUGCAUCUACCCAUGCAUAUCGUGGUGCACAUCUUUAGGAGACUCUCAGCUGGGUUUACAAUCGUACUAAGCCAUGAUGUGGUCCACGCGGUACGUAACCUAAGCCCAGGCAUGUAUGACUUAGCAACUACAGCUUACCCAAGAGGCUGUGGUGAAGCAAACAAUGCCUUAGUAUGGAGUGUGAACCAAGCAUGAGUAGCCACUCUUGCAGGAAAAGCUGUUGGCUUUAUAGUCCUGCAAAAAACAAUUCCUAUCCCCCUGGCCCAAAAUCAGAGAGGUCACGAAUAGAAUGUGACUUUGUAGGAGGAGAAUGCAGUGGUACAACUUGUACGUCUGUGUCAAGAGUUGAACAGGGUCCUUUCCUUUAGCUUUGAACUUUCGCUUUCCAUCACUUUUCUCUUCCCCUUCCUUCCCAACAUAUUCAUCCAUUAACACAGGAAGUCCUUGACUUACAAGCAUUUGUUUAGCCACCAUUCAAAAUUAGAACGGCACUGAAAAAAAUUAAUUACAUCUAGUUCUCGCACUGACAGCUGUCGCAGCAUCCUCAGGGUCAUGUGAUUCACGUUCAGGUGCUUGGCACCUGUGCCAGUUGCAGUAUCCUGGGGUCACGUGAUCACCUUUUGUGACCUUCCCAACUGGCUUCCAACAAGCAAGGUCAAUAGGGGAAGCUGGAUUCGCUUCACGACUGCAUGGUUUACUGAAAACACCUGCAGGGAUUUGCUGAACAAUUGUGGCAAAAAAAAAAAAGUCGCACAAUUGGACGAGACUCAUUUAACAACCAUCCGGAAAUUCUGCUCCCAAUUGUGGUUGUAAGUCGAGGAGUAUAGGAAGACAGACUUUUUCAGUUCAAUAUUGUGUUCGGUGGAGCUUUUGCUGCAGGGAUGGUAGGAUUCUCUGCUUGUGGGAAGAGAUUGGCUUCUGUAGGACAGUGGAAAGGUAUUUUAUGCCGCCCCAUUAUCUGAGGUAUCGGAGCGUGGGAAUCUUCCGUUUGAGUUGUGUACAGGGUUUGUUUCCGUGGCCUGCUUUGUAAUCACAGGAAGGAAAUAAAUAUCAUGGGCCUUUACCAAGCACGCUUUCGGCAGUAAUAAUGAUAAGCUUUUAAAAUGCCAAAUACAAAACAGCCAGCGUUUUGUUUACCACCACAUCCCGAUAGCAUUUGGGGAGAUAACUUCUAAGCAGCCUCAAUUCUCUCAGCCUUCUGGUUGCUAUUUGUCACCGGGACGUUCAUCGUUAGAAACGUCACGUUUGCAAUGUCUUUUCCCAUGAGAUGAAAUGAUAACUUUUAAAAGUGAGUGGGACCGCCAUAGCUGAAAUGGAUAAUGACAUGAAAUGUCCAGGUUGGGCCUCAGACAGUGGUGGGAUUCAGCCAGUUUGCACCAGUUCGGCAGAACCGGUAGCUAAUAUUUUGUUGCCCAGGCCCAGAACGGACUUCGGAAGUGGCAUCCACAUGGAGAACUGGUUGUUCACCUAUUUGAAACCCACCACUGGCCUCAGAGAACUGAUAACAUUGGUUGAAAGUCUCACUCGUGAUGUCUGAAGAUUCAACCCAAAUUUGUGGGUUGUCUCUUCUGAGUGCUUGAUGAAUCCAUUCUCUUGUGUUCCAUCUAAUACAUUGUCAAUUCAAAACUUCCUUCUUCCUGCAAAGAGAAGCUGGUGAUUCUGGCCAGGACUUUCUUAUUCCUGAGUCCCACCCAAUCAUCAGUCAAACAAAGACUUGUCUUUAGGUUUGAGUUUGUUUUUCAGAAAAAGUUGUGUGAGCACACUCCACUCUUGGUUAAGACUUGGAGUGACGCAUCAUUUUGGUCUUUUCCCAUUGAUGGAAAAAUCUGUAGAAAUGUAUUAAUAGUAGAGGAGAUGUUUUUCUGUAAGUAAUUCAGGUACAGCAACAGAAGAGACAAACUAUAUUCUUAUAGACAGAAUGCUACAAUCAACAUGUUUUUCUCACUGUCUUUAUAUCAUGCAGUGGGAUGUUUCGUCUCUACAUAUCUCAACGUUCUUAAGAACUUCUCAGUUUUCUUGUGUGUCCGAAAUGGACUUUCCAUACGGUGCUAUUUCUUAUGUUCUUAAAAGAUUUUCGUUGAACCAUUCAAAUGUAUUUUUUAAGUCUUACCUAUUGAAUUUAACUGACUUUAACCUUUGAAGGCCAUGCGACCUCAAUUCCAUGUCUUGAAUGUUGAGUAUUACUAUGUAUAACUCAUAUUAAGGUGCUUUUUGGUGCUGUUUCAAGAGCAGCCAUGGGUGGGGGAGGAUGGGGGGGAGGGGAUGACUUUAAAAAUCCAUAAAAACAAUAAAGUGGAAACUUAAUUCCCCACACACUACUUCCUUUAUGAUUUUGUUGGAGGUUUUUUGGGGAGAGGGAAAAGCUGGUUACAAAUAGAAUGUGUGCUGAUUCAUGGUUGGCACACAUCCAACUCUCCCAUCCUUAACUAUCCAACUAAUGUAUAAAAAGAUGUAUUGGUUGAUUUUUAUUAGGACUUUAAAAAUCGCACAGGCGAAUAGAGUUCAGAAUAGGCAUAUGGAGCGUUAAUCUUAAACUUUGGAUUACUGAAAUGAAAGCUGUCAAAAAAAAAAAUAACAUUAUUUUCCAGUAUGUUUUUUUUUCCUACAAAGUUUCCAAAAAAAAAAAAGAUACAAUGGUGCUGUACCAAAGCCUUAUAUGAGAUUUAAUCUGCAAGAGGUAUAAUCUCUCUAUAUCUGCAUUGUUUUUCUCUGCUUCCAUUGUGUAAAGGCCAGUAAAAUACCAGCAAAGAAAGAAGUUGGAAUCACAAGCUGGACUUGCUAGCCUCUGCAGAAAGAGGAGGCACUUCUAAAGUUCAGCAGAAGAUUAGAUGUGCAAGUUAUUGUCGCUUCCUCUUCUUGCACUUCCAAGACUUAUUUGCUAUCCUUCAACCAGGUGGUGCACAUCUAAUCCCCUUAUUCGCACCCCCGCUUUCCCUCUUGUCUCAAAUAGCUCUUCACAAUAAUCCCAAAGGUGCUUUUCAAAAGGCAACGGGACUCUCUUGGGUUUUUCCUCCCUUGAAAACAUUUUGCUUCUCAUCCAAGAAGCUUCUUCAGUUCUAUUUAGAGAACUUCUUCAGUUCAGUUUAGAGAACUGAAGAAGCUCCUUGGAUGAGAAGUGAAACCUUUUCAAGGAAAAAAAAACAACCUCCAAGUGAGUCCAGUUGCUUUUUAAAAAGCACUUUUGGGACAACCACGACCUGGAUGAUGGAGAAUCUUCGUAGAUGCUCAUCACAUGGUGGGCAACCUCAAUUUUGUGUCUGCUGGCUUUCUUCCUUGGUCCUUUUGAGCAAUCCAAGAACUUAAGUUCAAAGUGCAAAUUGGUUCCAUAUCUCUGAUUCCUGCUUCCUUGCCCUGUAUUUAUAGUGAGUGGCACAAAAGGAAUUUCCUCCAUGACUUGGUGCUAAUUAAUUUUUGCUUGGAGGAGAGAAUAGGCAGGUGAAGGUAAUGUCUGCUCUAUUUGCAUCUGUCAUGCAUCCCCCCCCCAAUAGUCUUAAGAAGAGAAAAACCAGAAAGUGUGGUGUAUCUGCACCCCACAAAUAUAAAACAGUACAUUGGAGGUGGCUUGCAGCAAAUGGGAUUCUGGGAGGGCAAAGUAAGUCCACUUUCCCAAACUUGGUGCUUCCUAGAUGAUAUGAGUUGACAAGUCAAAAUGCUGCAGAGGAACAUCCAGAUUCUGGUUAGAUCUCAAAAAGAAAUAACCAGAUAGGACAGCAUUUCUCAACCUUGGCAAAUUGAAGACAUGUGGACUUCAAUUCCCAGAAUUCCCCAGCCAAACACAGAGAUAGAAGAUUGGUCCAUUACUGAAACAAGAAGCAGAUAGAAACUCAGAAGGCAAUCACUUCCAGGCAUUUAUGUAGAACAGGUUGCAAAAGUGAUGCAAGAAACGUGAAGGAUGGUUGUGGUAUAAAGAGAACUUACCACAGAUGCACUGCAAAUUGUUUGGUGGCGGCUUUAUAUAUGAACCUUUAUAUCCUAGAAAAUAUAUUCUUGCAGCAUUUUGACUUGUCAACCAAGAGAAGCCUACAGGAAUGUUAAGGCCCAUAUAUCUAAUGCCACAAAGUUGGGAAAGGUUGAUACAGUUGCUUAAGGAUAACCCCCAGUGUUCCACCAAGAUCGAUAGAUACAUGACCAUGGAUUCCACCUAUUGUGGUUUGUAGGCCACAUGUCAACCCAUUCGGUGUGGUUUAUUCAAUAAAUCAUGGUCAGGUAAACCAGAAUUUAGCAUCUGAUAGGAUUGCCAUCUAAUUUUUGAACUUGUUUAGAGAUUCAGUGGUAUUAUACAAGUUCAUUAGCUACUCCUCCAGGACCCUACAGAGAAAUAAUCCUAACACUAAGGAGCAUGUUCGGUUCUGAGAAUGACAAAACCAGAAGAGAUGUAAUAAUAUCCAGGAAUGUGGGUUCCGUUUGAUCCCUUGGUCUCCUAUCUUCUAGGUUAGAGGAGGUUCUUCAUGUGGCCAAAGCAAAUCUAGACCAUGUCUUCUGCCAAGUUCCUUGGUUUAUCUGAAGUGGGCUUUUUGGUCCUUCCUGAAACUUUUUACACUUGGCUUUUAUUGGCCGCAUACAAUAUGGAGGAUUCUUCUAAGCAAUAAAUCCACUUUCUCUACUGCUGAUGUUAUUCCCUAUGGGCAACUAGAAUGUUGCCAGUUAAUUAAAACACAUGCUCCCCUGCCUUAAAAUUGGAUGGCAUGCCUUUAACCUUUCCAGCUGCUGGUAUUUUAUAAGCCUACUCAGCAAUUCCACCUUCAGUAACAUUGCAUGUUCAUGAAUUUACUUUUACCCCCUGCUUUUUAUUUUACUAUUUUAUUGCUUUUUUUAAUAAGAAAAAGAGAUGUGUACCCUGUAAAGAAAAUUAUGGCAGUGUUGCUUUGUUAUGUUAAACCUGCCAUUCUGUAGGAGAAUGAUGGACUUUGGAAUUGAUUACAAGACAAAAAAAUCAUUUAAUUGCUCCACAUAACAUUACUCUGCUUCAGAAGUGUUUUGUAUUUUGAUAUAAAUAAACAUUUGCAAAAAAAA